rnacentral:rRNA from 1 species
AUUGAACGCUGGCGGCAUGCCUUACACAUGCAAGUCGAACGGCAGCACGGGAGCAAUCCUGGUGGCGAGUGGCGAACGGGUGAGUAAUAUAUCGGAACGUGCCCAGUCGUGGGGAUAACGUAGCGAAAGCUACGCUAAUACCGCAUACGAUCUAUGGAUGAAAGCGGGGGAUCGCAAGACCUCGCGCGAUUGGAGCGGCCGAUAUCAGAUUAGGUAGUUGGUGAGGUAAAGGCUCGCCAAGCCGACGAUCUGUAGCUGGUCUGAGAGGACGACCAGCCACACUGGGACUGAGACACGGCCCAGACUCCUACGGGAGGCAGCAGUGGGGAAUUUUGGACAAUGGGNGCAAGCCUGAUCCAGCAAUGCCGCGUGCAGGAUGAAGG